CACGUAGGGGGCGAGCGUUGUCCGGAUUUAUUGGGCGUAAAGAGCUCGUAGGCGGCUUUGUCAGUCGGGUGUGAAACCUCCAGGCUCAACCUGGAGACGCCACUCGAUACUGGCGUGACUAGAGUUCGGUAGGGGAUCACGGAAUUCCUGGUGUAGCGGUGAAAUGCGCAGAUAUCAGGAGGAACACCGGUGGCGAAGGCGGUGAUCUGGGCCGACACUGACGCUGUAGAGCGAAAGCGUGGGGAGCGAACAGG
rnacentral:rRNA from 1 species